ensembl:snRNA U6 U6 spliceosomal RNA
GCGCUCGCUUCGGCAGCACGUGUACUAAACUUGGAACGAUACAGAGAUUAGCAAGGCCCCUGCACAAGGAUGACACGCAAAUUACAGGCAGUGGUUU